rnacentral:sRNA from 1 species
CUCCCCAGAGGCUGCCCUCAGCUGUAGGAAGGAUAUCUAUUGCAGUGGGAGAGCAAUAGGAACCAGAGGGAAGCGAGGCAGGCAGUGCUGGAGAUUGAACCCAUGUAUAUGCAAAGCAUUAUUGACUACCGAGCUAAGCACCAGCCUAUCUAGAGAGGACUGUGAAUGUUUUCAACACAAAGAAACAGAGUGAAGCACUAAAGUUGCUCAGUUUCUCCAGGUUCGGUCAACCUUCCUAGGAAUCGUCUGAUGGAAGGGCACCAGAGGCGGCGGCCUCCUGGUGAGAAGAGUUGUGUGAGCCAUCACCAGUUAGAUGAAGAAGGUCCUGUGAUCCUGAGUUAGGACUCCCCUGUAUCCCAUUUCCCUACUCCUCAGCCUUCGGUCUCCAGGAAGAAGUGUGUUUUGAAUUCAAUAUAAAAUGAGAACUAGCCUAUAGCUACCCAUCACUGGUUAUCUCUGUGUGCUCCAAGUCCGUGCCAUCCUGAGGGAAUUUCCAGUUUCUGUUUCUCUUUGAAGCCAUACCUUUCAGGUGUUUUUGGAUUUUCCCCAGGUGGUUCUUAAACCUAUCCACUGCUUAUUUACUCAGUUUAUUUGAGAUUAAAUGCAAUUAUCGGGCUGGAGAGAUGGCUCAGUGGUUAAGA